GUUGAAAAAUUAGCGGAUGACUUGUGGCUGGGGGUGAAAGGCCAAUCAAACCGGGAGAUAGCUGGUUCUCCCCGAAAUCUAUUUAGGUAGAGCCUUGAGCGGACACCUUCGGGGGUAGAGCACUGUUUCGGCUAGGGGUCCAUCCCGGAUUACCAACCCGAUGCAAACUACGAAUACCGAAGAGUGAUACUCAGGAGACACACGGCGGGUGCUAACGUCCGUCGUGAAGAGGGAAACAACCCAGACCGCCAGCUAAGGUCCCAAAGUCUAUAUUAAGUGGGAAACGAAGUGGGAAGGCUUAGACAGCUAGGAUGUUGGCUUAGAAGCAGCCAUCAUUUAAAGAAAGCGUAAUAGCUCACUAGUCGAGUCGGCCUGCGCGGAAGAUGUAACGGGGCUCAAAUAUAGCACCGAAGCUGCGGCAUCAGACGAAAGUCUGUUGGGUAGGGGAGCGUUCUGUAAGCGGAUGAAGGUGGCUCGAGAGGGCUGCUGGACGUAUCAGAAGUGCGAAUGCUGACAUAAGUAACGAUAAAACGGGUGAAAAACCCGUUCGCCGGAAGACCAAGGGUUCCUGUCCAACGUUAAUCGGGGCAGGGUGAGUCGGCCCCUAAGGCGAGGCUGAAAAGCGUAGUCGAUGGGAAACGGGUUAAUAUUCCCGUACUUGGAUAAACUGCGAUGUGGGGACGGAGCAGGUUAGGUUAUCGCACUGUUGGAUAUGUGCGUUUAAGUUGGUAGGUGAGAAGUUUAGGCAAAUCCGGACUUCUUUAACACUGAGAGAUGAUGACGAGGCUCUACGGAGCUGAAGUAACCGAUACCACACUUCCAGGAAAAGCCACUAAGCUUCAGGUUUAUCUAAACCGUACUGAAAACCGACACAGGUGGUCAGGUAGAGAAUACUCAGGCGCUUGAGAGAACUCGGGUGAAGGAACUAGGCAAAAUAGCACCGUAACUUCGGGAGAAGGUGCGCCGGCGUAGAUUGUAGUCCCUUGCGGGCGAAGGUUGAACCGGUCGAAGAUACCAGCUGGCUGCAACUGUUUAUUAAAAACACAGCACUCUGCAAACACGAAAGUGGACGUAUAGGGUGUGAUGCCUGCCCGGUGCUGGAAGGUUAAUUGAUGGUGUAAUCGAAAGAGAAGCUCCUGAUCGAAGCCCCAGUAAACGGCGGCCGUAACUAUAACGGUCCUAAGGUAGCGAAAUUCCUUGUCGGGUAAGUUCCGACCUG
rnacentral:rRNA from 1 species